rnacentral:rRNA from 1 species
AUUGAACGCUGGCGGCAGGCUUAACACAUGCAAGUCGAGCGCGCGGCGGACGGGUGAGUAAUGGCUGGGAAACUGCCUGAUGGAGGGGGAAAACUACUGGAAACGGUAGCUAAUACCGCAUAAAAUCAGAUGUGCACAGAUGGGAGUAGGUAGCAGGUGGGGUAAUGGCACACCUAGGCGACGAUCCCUAGCUGGUCUGAGAGGAUGACCAGCCACACUGGAACUGAGAGACGGCCCAGACUCCUACGGGAGGCAGCAGUGGGGAAUAUUGCACAAUGGGCGCAAGCCUGAUGCAGCCAUGCCGCGUGUGUGAAGAAGGCCUUCGGGUUGUAAAGCACUUUCAGCGAUGAGGCGUUACUCGCAGAAGAAGCAACGGCUAACUCCGUGCCAGCAGCCGCGGUAAUUC